rnacentral:rRNA from 1 species
GACGAACGCUGGCGGCGUGCUUAACACAUGCAAGUCGAACGGAAAGGCCCUGCUUUUGUGGUGUGCUCGAGUGGCGAACGGGUGAGUAACACGUGAGUAACCUGCCCUUGACUUUGGGAUAACUUCCGGAAACUGGGGCUAAUACCGGAUCGGAGCUCCUGCUGCAUGGUGGGGGUUGGAAAGUUUCGGCGGUUGGGGAUGGACUCGCGGCUUAUCAGCUUGUUGGUGGGGUAGUGGCUUACCAAGGCUUUGACGGGUAGCCGGCCUGAGAGGGUGACCGGCCACAUUGGGACUGAGAUACGGCCCAGACUCCUACGGGAGGCAGCAGUGGGGAAUAUUGCACAAUGGGCGGAAGCCGGAUGCAGCAACGCCGCGUGCGGGAUGACGGCCUUCGGGUUGUAAACCGCUGUCGCCUGUGACGAAGCGUGAGUGACGGUAAUGGGUAAAGAAGCACCGGCUAACUACGUG